UUUGGAUCUGAAAAAGAAGGGAAAGAUCUACUCUGUUUUCUGGACCUGGGGAGGGGCCUGAAUCCAGGCAGGCAAGUAUGACGGUCUCAUAACCAGACCCACUUCCUGGGUGGGAUGAUGUCUCCUCUUCAUCUUCCACUUGUUUUCCUAGGAGUGAGUACAAUACUGAGUUGGAGCCCUGGACAACAGCUUUGUGGUCCUGGAGCUGGUGAGGGAGUUCACUUGCCAUUUCCUUAUCCUUCCAUCCAUUUAUUCAUUCACGGGUCACAUCAUCUAUGAAGAAACUAUUGUUUAAGGCAGUGAGAUGCUGGGACUAUCAAUGGGAACAAAACAAACCUUGUCCAUGUCUUUGUACUGCUUCACAAUUCGUUGGUGUAGAUGAGCUUUACACAAGUAAUUCAUUACAAUUAUGCCAAGUACCGUAAAGACUGGGAACAGAAUGGUGUGACUAGACGUGGUCUGAAUAUUACAUGUUUUAAGUUGAAUAUUUAGGGAUGAGCAGGAUUAUGUCUUGAGAAGUUAAGGGAAUAGGGAUGGAAAGGGGGAAUGUUUUCCAAGUAGAGCAAGGAAUGUGUUAGAACGCUGAAGACCAACAAGAGGUAAUAGCUGCCCAGUGGUUUUGAGCUUGCAAACAUAAGUGAUUGUGAGCCUGGGGACAAACGGCUCAUGUUGAACCAGAGAUACUGUUGUGUCUACUCUUGGCUCGCUUGUACCCAGCUGAGUGCCCUGCAAUACUUCAGGUGCUCAACAAAUAUUUUCUGUAUAAAUGAAGGCAAAUAGUUACUCUUGGUUAAUCCUAGCUUUGGAGGUCAUUCCUGUCAAACAUCCAAACACACCGUCUCCUCUCUUCUCAGUCCAUUGAGUUUCAUUCGGAAGUGUGUGGAUAAUUCUUCUAAUUUUUAUUUGGCUUUGAAGACCAUUUUUUCUUCUUCUCCUCAAGACAUUGUAGGGGCAGUGGAGAUUCCUGCUCCCUUUCCUGAAGGUUCCAGUGUAAAAUGUUUCCUUUGUAGGGACAUGGAUGAAGCUGGAAACCCUCAUUCUCAGCAAACUAUCGCAAGGACAAAAAACCAAACACUGCAUGUUCUCACUCGUAGGUGGGAAUUUAACAAUGAGAACACGUGGGCACAGGAAGGGGAACAUCACACACCGGGG
rnacentral:lncRNA from 10 species